GAGUGCGUGAUCCGGAAGAACUUCUCAACCCGCACUGUCAUCUCUGUUCUGCAGAAAACCUCCACAAACCACUUGAAGAACACAUGGGAGGAAGUUUCCCUGUGGGGACAGCUCUGAAAAACUGAAGGAGCUCUAUAGCCAAGACGAGUCCUUGAGAAGAUAACUGAUGACCAAGGUUAACAAGCAGAAGGAUCUGUUAGGCCCCUUGGCCGGUGGGGUGCGAUUUUUGGGCAGGAGGCCCUGGUCAUGGGACACAGUGGUGUUGGCUGGGCUGUUCCAGGAGGAGUUGCUGAGCUGGUGCCAUCAGCAGGAAUACUGAGUCAUGAGGGAGAUCCUGCUGCUCCAGGUGGCUGCAAAGAAUUACAACCUGGACCCCGAGGAGCGAUUUGGGGCCUGGUUCCAGGACAUGGUGCUGCUCAACGAGAACGGUCAAAGAACAAGAGCAGAGGUCAUCAAAAGGUCAAGUCUAAUCUACCUACAGAUGUGGCAGGCUUAGCUAUGGAUGUUCAAGCCAGACAUUGCCAGGAGAACCACAUCUCUUCACCCAUAGCAUGGACUGUAGGAGAAAGCCCAGAGGAGCAAUGAAGACAAAGAAGACAUGACACCUGCAAAAAGUCAGUGGAGUAUUUCUACAUAAGAAACAUUCCAGGGAGGACGCACAACAGCAGAAUACCCGUGGCCUGACUUUCUGGAGCAUCAGUAUUACUACAAGAUUUGGAAAAACCAAAGUUAGGUCAUUUCCAAGAUUCAUCUUGGCUGAAAUCAUCCCACGUGUAUUGUUUUCUGUCCAGCUUGUCUCCCUCUGCACGAGGUUGAUGAGUGUCUUUCAGCAUG